rnacentral:rRNA from 1 species
AGUUGAGCGAUUACUUCGGUAAGAGCGGCGGACGGGUGAGUAACGCGUGGGUAACCUACCCUGUACACACGGAUAACAUACCGAAAGGUAUGCUAAUACGGGAUAAUAUAUUUGAGAGGCAUCUCUUGAAUAUCAAAGGUGAGCCAGUACAGGAUGGACCCGCGUCUGAUUAGCUAGUUGGUAAGGUAACGGCUUACCAAGGCGACGAUCAGUAGCCGACCUGAGAGGGUGAUCGGCCACAUUGGAACUGAGACACGGUCCAAACUCCUACGGGAGGCAGCAGUGGGGAAUAUUGCACAAUGGGCGAAAGCCUGAUGCAGCAACGCCGCGUGAGUGAUGAAGGCCUUCGGGUCGUAAAACUCUGUCCUCAAGGAAGAUAAUGACGGUACUUGAGGAGGAAGCCCCGGCUAACUACGUGCCAGCAGCCGCGGUAAUACGUAGGGGGCUAGCGUUAUCCGGAUUUACUGGGCGUAA